rnacentral:lncRNA from 1 species
ACCCCCAUAAGUCUAUCCUUCAGCUGCAAACUUAUUUAAAAUAUUUCCCUCUAGCUGUAAAUAUUUCUAUCUGCUCCUUAUGCCAUCCCCAUUCCCAUUGCACAAUUAACCAUCAUCCAGCCUUUCUCUUCCUCCUCCUUCUCCUUCUCCUCCUCCUGCUCCUCCUUCUUCUCCUCCUUCUUCCUCCUCCUUCUCCUCCUCCUUCCUUCUUCUCCUUCCCCACUCACUUUCCUGAGCCCUGUCUCAUGAAUUAGCAAUACGCCCCAGCACCAAGUGCCCUACACUGCAGCGCGUACAGGAUGACCCUCCUAAUAGCCCGGCGUCUGGGUGAGCCUUCAAGAUAAUUUCAGUGCCUUAUGCUGACGUGCUAACGUGCUUUGUCACAUAAGGUGACUUUGCAAAGCAUUUGUAAAGACACGAAGAUAUAUAAAUAUAGAUACACGCAGAGCAGGCACGCACAGGCAGCACAGUCCCACCACGGGUGCAUGGUCCGGGAUGGGCUGGAUGCUGGGGUGCUGAGGGGGAGCUCUUGGAACAGAUUUUGGGCCAAGAUCAGGAUUUGGGAAGAGGCACCUUUCGCAGCUCACUCAGUGCCUGAUGCUAAUUGGUGCCGUGACCCCAGCGGGCACCGCAGACAAACGACAAUCCUUUUUUUGCCCAAACCCUCGGACAUCCCACCCAACCACAGCCCACGGCCGGUGGCUGUGGCUGCCCGCUGCCUCCACGCAAACACCCGGCAGCAAUCAGGUCUCGCAGUGCUGAGACCUCUUUUGUCUUCCCCUUGCUCCUGGGGGAGACGGGCCGGGGAUGCAUAAAAUUAUUAACUGCACACGACAAUAUGGAAAUUCACCGCCGUGGGCAACACGGUCACAGAUGCCCCAGAUUCGGCUGUUGCUGGCUGCGGCUGUACGAAGAUCUCAGUGGACAGGCACGAGUAUUUUUGUAUGAGCGUGACAUCAUGUGCAAACGUGUCACAUUGUUUUAUGUCACACGGACGUCCACGAAGGAGCCUGCGCUCCUGCCAAGGUUAAGCAGCAAUCUGUUUCUGCAGCCCGACCAGAUGCAGCGUUACGAACAAACCCACACAGGGAGCUGCAGCCCGACUGCAAACAGCCCGGGAGCUGCUGGGGCUGGUUGGACAUGGCGGGGAGAUGCUCUGAAAAUGUCUGUGCCCCCUCUUUUUGGGUGGAUGCUCUUGGGUCUUAGCACCAGCUCCAAAGCCCUCGGUGGGGCAGGUGCCGAGCAGCCACAGCUCCCAUGCCCUAUGAGCAGGCUGGGUGUCAGACCCCAAAAAGGUGCCACAGGCCCUACACAUCAUUGGGGUGGAUGGCACAGAACUGUGUAGUUCCAGGCCAGUCCAUGGACUGCUCACAAAAUGUCCUCUGUAAAUGAAGUUUCUGAUGGUACUUUUGGUUUUGAUCCAAGUGCUGGUACCUUGGUGAUGUGCAUCACGUACGUCCACCACACAGCACAUACAGAUGUGCAGGUUGUGCCUUCAGAGCAGUCUGCAGGAGGCUGGGAGGGACUGGAGGCUGCUGCUGGGGCAGGGAAGCACGGCUGCAGCCCGUGGGGCCGAGCCGCCCUGCUCUCAGGGGCAACUGGCUCGUUUGCUGCUUAGCUCUAUUUCUAACCACGCCAUUUCUUAUAUGUCACGGGCCUCUUCUCAUUGUUCCACUGAGUUUAUUUUCCAAUUUGUUUGCUCUCAAGGCUCUCGCCGAGUUUUCAUUUAAAUUUUCACCUUCACUGCUUUCCUGAGCAACAGCCUGCGGAUGAGGCAGGAGGUGAGAAACCCGCCAAGGCUCGCGGUGAUGGCACCUCGGGGCCGCUGUGGGUCGUGGGAAGGAGGGGUGCCCCAAAGCUGCCCUGUCCACGGCCCCACACUGUGCGAGCCACUCUUCUCCAGCAGCAGCUUGGGACCCACACUGAGCCCAGCUUCUGCUGAGCACCAGCACCCGUGGGCCACGGGGUCCCUGCCAUGGGGGCUGCGCUUGCUGCAGGGGCUGCCUGGCCGUGUGCUGGGCACCCACACCACGGCACGCACAGGGGUGGCUUCAAAGACCACACAUGCUUGAUUCUGCUACGUGUUUGUUUGGUGCUUGGCAUUCCCAGGUGUGUGCCGGGCACAAUUUGUGUUUUGAAAAAUAACAAACUUGGUGCAAAUGGGCAUGGGGAGCUCGCUGAGGAGCUGGGGUGCCUGCCUCAGGGCUUCCCUUAGGGUUAGGGUUAGGGCACCGAGGCUCUGCGCUGUGUAAUUCACAGGAACAGAGACCCCGGGGCCAGCAAUCUCCCUGUGUCUGAGAGACUUUCGUCUGAAAUGACUUAGAACUGACAUCAAACCACAGCUCCCUCCAGCACUUCAGCACUGCCGAGCAUGUAAAGCUCAGCUCUGCGCUGGCUGUUCACCAGCAGCACUUUUGCAGGACGAUGCGUUAUCAGCUCAUCACUCACAGACACUCAGUAGGAACGUCACUUUGUUAUCUCCAUCACCUGAAAUCCUGAGUGGUGUAAACAAAUAAAUGUGUGGCAAAAUUCCUCUUUUAAAUUUAAUUUUGCACAUGCACCGAUAGUUCCUUUGACCCCACGUAGGGAACUCGCAUGCCAGACCCAGCGUCUGCUCCCGCACAGGCAGAAGGUGCAGCAGGCUCAGCACGGAGCUCAUGGCACGGAGCCCCCCCAGCACCCGCCUCUGCUGGGAGCCACCCAUGCGCCUGUCCCUUCUGCUGAGAAAACACCCACAGCAAUAAAGAUGCUUCUAACCUCUGCUAUUUUCCCUUUUCAUCUAUUCAGUUUAUCCUCUCUGUAUUUUUCAUCAUGGCUUGAAAGUAAAUUAUAGGCGCAUUUUGCUGAAGGAAACAUUUACACGAGCUUCUGUCUGUUCUCCAGCACAGAGAAAAUAUUGCCACAAGAUUUUGCUUUACGCUGAGCUCUCCCAUUCAGCCAAAUAAAACGGGCAGCUUCAAGGAUCAGGCCAGACUCACUGAGGCUGCAGAUGUUGGCACGGGGCACCAGAAGUCAGGCAGUCAGGGAUUUACAAGGGCAUUAAUGCCAGUGUGGCAGCAGACCCACGGAAAGAUGCUGUCAAAAGUGGUAAUUGGAAAAGCACACACGGAAACGCAGAAGAAACCCUACCAGACUCCCGCACACAGGAUGUGUAAAUUUACUCUUCUGACUGCAAACUGUUUGAGAGAGAUCUUUUCCUCCAAAAAAUGGUAGAUUGCUAUAAUUUACCCAUUAUCGGGGGCAAGACAGCCUACCCCUGACCCACAAGACUACAUCUGAUGGCAGCAUGCACAGGCAUGCCUAGGCUGCCCAGGGGGAGCAGGCACAGCCCGGGGCUGUCACCCACAGACCUGUGCUUGGAGACACCGUAACUUCGCCUCCCUGCAGUGCCAAGCACGCCAGUGCCCAUGAGGAAUUCAUCACCAUUAAAGGCUGCUUGUGAAAGCGCUGCUUUUUGCAAGUUUGCUCUCAAGGAAAAGAGCUGGAACGGGACACGUGCCACGGGGAGAUGUCACCAGCACAGUCACAGCAGCUUGGACCGAGGUCCCCGUCCCCAUCCCCUGAGUGUGCCAAGGGCUGCCGGGGACGGGCGCAGAAGCAGAAAGGACCUGCUGUGCUGCCUGCCUAAAUGAGCUGCUUCUAUAAAGGGGAAGAUCAUC